UUUGUUGUUCCACUUAUUUAUGCAUUCUUUGUUUGAUUCUUAUAUGUAACUUGACCAGGGAUCAAACCUGAAACUUGAGAGCAUGACACUCCAACUGAGCUACCUGGCCAAGGUUCCUUUGUGUAUUCUUGAUGAGUGUGCUUUAAAUUUUAACUAACCAUGGGUGGGAGAAGGAGUAUAAAUAGAAAGCACCUAUUACUACUGUCUUUGGUAAGUUUACAGACAGUGUAACAGUAGGCAGCUCUGAAGUCAGUGGCCAUGAUUUGCCAUUUUUUUGAAGUUUGGAAUUAUAUGUAAGAAGGCUUCUCAUUUUAGCAAAUGAGAGAAGGCAUAGAAAGAUUGUGAUAUGAAGACAGUGUUGGGUGAAUGAAUGUUUUCUUUCUCUUUUGUCCUUAUUAGAGAUUUGUGGUAGAUAUAGGAGGCUGGUGAUUCGAGGACUGCAUUGAAAGCAGGUAUAGCCCCAGAGGAAAGAUUGGAAAAGGAUUGGGAUUUGGAGCUGGUUUAGGAAGUGGGCUUCAGUUGGCUGAAAGUGAACAAGGCUUAGAUGUAUUGUGAAAAAAGGGACCUCCAGAUCCCUCGGAGGUUUUUCAUAGGUGGAAUUGGUUAACCAGGAGAGGAAUGUCUCAAUACAAUGUUCUUUACUGUUUUGAAAUUUGAGAGAAUCCCUUAAAUUUUUAAAAUUACGUGGGAAAAUUGUAUACCAAACAAGUGUGGUGUCUGCAGAAGUGUCUGAAUGUAUUUUUAGUUAAUGUCCUGGUUUCACCUCUUACAUUUGACUAUAACAUGACUAUGUCAUUGCUGGGUCUUUGGGUCAUAUGUUGCACACCGACUAUAGCUUCAUCUUUAAUUAUAAAUUUAUUAGCCCUACCAAAAUUGAGGUAGACUUCUAUUAAAUUUCACUAGAAUUGUUGAUGUUUAAGUUCAGUUUGGAGGGAUAAUUUCUGCUGUUAACUAGUUCUUUAUAGCCUUUUAAAUUAAUGAAAACCAAAUUUUAAACCAUCAAAGUAUCUCUCCUGUUGCAUUGUCUUAUUCAAGGAGACCUAUCUUUAUUUUGUAGUUAAUGAUCUUUCAAAGUACAUUUAGAUGUGGGUUUUUAUUUUUAUUUUAAUGACUUUUGAGCUUCUCAUUGAAGAUAGAUAUCUUUUUCUGUCAGUCAAGAUAAACCUAUGUUUGUAAAUAUGUGAUUUUUCCGAAAUGGAAAUCUGAUCUUGUCACACCCUUGCUUAGAAUUUUUUUGGCUGUAUCCAUUUCUGGGCUUCAAUCAAUUAGGAUUAAGUUCAAAUGCCUGUGCUUUCUUAGCAUUAAAAACAUUUACAGUAUGAUCUCAUACAUACCUUUUUCAUUUUAUCUCUUGUCAGCUCCACCUACUGAUUUAACUUAUUUUAAGAGAUUACCAAGUGAACUGUUCCUUUUACCUGAAACAUGUGCACUGUUCCUUUUACCUGAAAAAUCUUUCUUUGCUGUCCUCAUGGCUAACUCAUCCUUUUUACCUUUGGAUUACCUCCUGUCUUGGAAGCUUUUGACCUUAGUCAAAUACUCUUACUCUGACCAUCUUCUAUAUAUUCCCAUAAAACUUAAUAUACCUACCAAAUACUUUAGACUUCUUUUAAAUUUCACACUAGUUUUUUAGAAUAUCUUUUAGUCAUAUUGUAUUGUAAUACUUGUCUUUCUUGUUUGUCUCCCUAUUCUUUAUUUUUCUUUUUGUUAAUUCUUACUUGAGGAUAU